CGGUGGUCGCCGCCUAAUCGCCCGCAGGGGCGAGCCGGGGAACCAUGUUCCUGGGGUGCAUCCGCGCACGCGCGGUAGGGAUCUUCCGUCCCGAACCCGUCAGCUAACCCGGUCGGCGGCUGACGGAAGGACAU
rnacentral:sRNA from 2 species